rnacentral:tRNA from 1 species
GCCGGUUUGGCUCAGUGAAUAGAGUGUUGGUCUGUGGACUCAAGGGCCCCUGGUUCGAUUCCAGUCAAGGGCA